AAAGUCGUAACAAGGUUUCCGUAGGUGAACCUGCGGAAGGAUCAUUACACUUAGCUGACUUAAAGCAUCUGUUUCAGAUAACUUUAUAUCAACUAAUUUGAUACUUUUCACCCAACUGUGCUCUUUCUUUUUUUCACACAUUUUACUAAAAAGUUAUUAUCUAUAGACUGAACAUUUGUAAAUGUUGCACAGGAAACUGUGUACAUCUACAGCAAGUCCAUAUCAUAUGAUGUGGAUGUUAAGAAAAAAUUACAUAACUCUUAACAAUGGAUAUCUAGGCUCUC
rnacentral:misc_RNA from 1 species